UACAGAGGGUGCUAGCGUUGUUCGGAAUCAUUGGGCGUAAAGGGCGUGUAGGCGGUUUGUUAAGUCAUGUGUGAAAGCCCCCGGCUCAACCGGGGAACGACGCAUGAAACUGGCAAGCUAGAGUACCGAAGAGGGGGGUGGAAUUCCCGGUGUAGCGGUGAAAUGCGUAGAUAUCGGGGAGGAACACCUGUGGCGAAGGCGGCCCCCCUGGUCGGGAUAC
rnacentral:rRNA from 1 species